GACGUAGGGCGCGAGCGUUGUCCGGAUUUAUUGGGCGUAAAGAGCUCGUAGGCGGCUUGUCGCGUCGUCCGUGAAAACCUGCAGCUCAACUGCAGGCUUGCGGUCGAUACGGGCAGGCUAGAGUUCGGUAGGGGAGACUGGAAUUCCUGGUGUAGCGGUGAAAUGCGUAGAUAUCCGGAGGAACACCGGUGGCGAAGGCGGCUUCCUGGACCGACACUGACGCUGAGGCGCGAAAGCUAGGGGAGCAAACGGG
rnacentral:rRNA from 1 species